rnacentral:rRNA from 1 species
CCUACUGGUGGCAGCAGUGGGGGAUAUUGCACAAUGGAGGGAACUCUGAUGCAGCGACGCCGCGUGAGGGAAGAAGGUUUUCGGAUUGUAAACCUCUGUCUUCGAUGACGAAACGAGCCGGUAGCCGAGGAGGCAGCCACGGCUAACUACGUGCAAGCAGCCGCGGUAAUACGUAGGUGGCAAGCGUUGUCCGGAAUUACUGGGUGUAAAGGGAGCGUAGGCGGGAAAGCAAGUUGAAGGUUUAAGGGACGGGCUCAAGCCGUACAAGCGUUCGAAACUGUUUUUCUCGAGUGGAGUAGAGGUAAGCGGAAUGCGCAGUGUAGCGGUGAAAUGCGUAGAUAUCAGGAAGAACACCAGUGGCGAAGGCAGCGUACUGGGCUUUGACUGACGCUGAGGCUCGAAAGCGUGGGUAGCGAACAGGAUUAGAUACCCGGGUAGUC